rnacentral:rRNA from 1 species
UCAGGCCUAACACAUGCAAGUCGAACUAGCUCUAGCGCAAGUUAGAGUGGGUGGCGGACGGGUGAGGAACACGUAAGAACCUACCCCUAGGAGGAGGAUAACUGCUGGAAACGGCAGCUAAUACUCCAUAUGCUGAGGAGUGAAACGGGGAAACCCGGCCUAGGGACGGGCUUGCGUCUGAUUAGCUAGUUGGUGAGGUAAAUGCUUACCAAGGCGACGAUCAGUAGCUGGUCUGAGAGGAUGAUCAGCCACACUGGGACUGAGACACGGCCCAGACUCCUACGGGAGGCAGCAGUGAGGAAUUU